AUUUCAGUGGACUUGCUGGAUAUUUGGAUGUCUACAGCUUACCCUGAGAAAGGUACCAAAUCCAGGGUGACUGACUGGCAGACGAAGUAGCAAAAAGAACAGUCUCUUUCACAAGUAGAUUGUCAAACACACUCCAACCUAGACCUCCUCUGGAACUCUAGUCUGGAAGUUAUGUAAGUAAUUACUGAUAAAUUUAUGAACACAGAUGAAAGUUAACAAUCCCCAAGUUAAUUUCCUGCAUGAUGAUUG
rnacentral:lncRNA from 12 species